CCUACGGGAGGCUGCAGUCGGGAAUAUUGCGCAAUGGACGAAACUCUGACCCAGUCACGCCGCGUGCAGGAAGAAGGCCCUCGGAUUUUAAACUUCUUUAGACAGGGAAGAAACAAGACAGUACCUGUAAAAUAAGCACCGGCUAACUACGUACCAGCAGCCCCGGUAAUACGUAGGGAUCGAGGUUUAACCGGAUUUAUUGGGGUUAACGGGUUGGUUGACGGGAAGUCAAGGUGGUUGUGAAAGCCCCCGGCUUAACUGGUGAACUGCAACCAAAACUAACAUGCUUGAGUGCUGGAGAGGAAGGUGGAAUUCGUAGUGUAGCGGUGAAAUGCGUAGAUAUUAGGAAGAACACCAAUGGCGAAGGCGACUUUCUGGACAGUAACUGACGCUGAGGCACGAAAGUGUGGGGAGCAAACAGGAUUAGAUACCCCUGUAGUC
rnacentral:rRNA from 1 species